rnacentral:rRNA from 1 species
AUUGAACGCUGGCGGCAGGCUUAACACAUGCAAGUCGAGCGAGCGGCGGACGUGUGAGUAAUGUCUGGGAAACUGCCUGAUGGAGGGGGAUAACUACUGGAAACGGUAGCUAAUACCGCAUACCAUCAGAUUUGCCCAGAGUGGAUUAGCUAGUAGGUGGGGUAAUGGCUCACCUAGGCGACGAUCCCUAGCUGAUCUGAGAGGAGGACCAGCCACACGGGAACUGAGAAACGGUCCAGACGCCUACGGGAGGCAGCAGUGGGGAAUAUUGCACAAUGGGCGAAAGCCUGAUGCAGCCAUGCCGCGUGAGUGAAGAAGGCCUUCGGGUUGUAAAGCACUUUCAGCGAGGAGGCGUUACUCGAAGAAGAAGCAACGGCUAACUCCGUGCCAGCAGCCGCGGUAAUAC